rnacentral:rRNA from 1 species
CACGUGGGAACGUGCCCUUCGGUUCGGAAUAACUCAGGGAAACUUGAGCUAAUACCGGAUACGCCCUUAUGGGGAAAGGUUGACCGCCGAAGGAUCGGCCCGCGUCUGAUUAGCUUGUUGGUGGGGUAACGGCCUACCAAGGCGACGAUCAGUAGCUGGUCUGAGAGGAUGAUCAGCCACACUGGGACUGAGACACGGCCCAGACUCCUACGGGAGGCAGCAGUGGGGAAUAUUGGACAAUGGGCGCAAGCCUGAUCCAGCCAUGCCGCGUGAGUGAUGAAGGCCUUAGGGUUGUAAAGCUCUUUUGUCCGGGACGAUAAUGACGGUACCGGAAGAAUAAGCCCCGGCUAACUUCGUG